rnacentral:rRNA from 1 species
ACUCCUGCGGGAGGCAGCAGUGGGGAAUAUUGGACAAUGGGCGCAAGCCUGAUCCAGCCAUGCCGCGUGAGUGAUGAAGGCCCUAGGGUUGUAAAGCUCUUUCACCGGUGAAGAUAAUGACGGUAACCGGAGAAGAAGCCCCGGCUAACUUCGUGCCAGCAGCCGCGGUAAUACGAAGGGGGCUAGCGUUGUUCGGAUUUACUGGGCGUAAAGCGCACGUAGGCGGACUAUUAAGUCAGGGGUGAAAUCCCGGGGCUCAACCCCGGAACUGCCUUUGAUACUGGUAGUCUUGAGUUCGAGAGAGGUGAGUGGAAUUCCGAGUGUAGAGGUGAAAUUCGUAGAUAUUCGGAGGAACACCAGUGGCGAAGGCGGCUCACUGGCUCGAUACUGACGCUGAGGUGCGAAAGCGUGGGGAGCAAACAGGAUUAGAAACCCGUGUAGUCCCAUGA